GCUUGUGUCAGGUUGACAUAAACUAG
rnacentral:piRNA from 1 species